rnacentral:rRNA from 1 species
CCUACGGGAGGCAGCAGUGCGGAAUAUUGGUCAAUGGACGAGAGUCUGAACCAGCCAAGUAGCGUGAAGGAUGAAUGCCCUAUGGGUUGUAAACUUCUUUUAUAAAGGAAUAAAACGAGGCACGUGUGCCUUUUUGCAUGUACUUUAUGAAUAAGGAUCGGCUAACUCCGUGCCAGCAGCCGCGGUAAUACGGAGGAUCCGAGCGUUAUCCGGAUUUAUUGGGUUUAAAGGGAGCGUAGAUGGGUUGUUAAGUCAGUUGUGAAAGGUUGCGGCUCAACCGUAAAAUUGCAAUUGAUACUGGCAGUCUUGAGUACAGUUGAGGUAGGCGGAAUUCGUGGUGUAGCGGUGAAAUGCUUAGAUAUCACGAAGAACCCCGAUUGCGAAGGCAGCUUACUAAACUGUGACUGACAUUGAUGCUCGAAAGUGUGGGUAUCAAACAGGAUUAGAUACCCGAGUAGUC